rnacentral:tRNA from 1 species
GGUGGCUCAGUGGUAGAGCGCUUGCCUUGUAUGCAUAAAGCCCUGGGUUCAAUUCCUCAGCACCA